AAAAAACUAGCAGACCCACGUCCUCGCGAACCCUACCCAGCCACUCGUCGCCUCCUCCCCUUCGAGAUCGCCGCCGCCACCUCCCUCCCCAUCCCAUCCCCGUACCCGCGCACGCCGCCGUUCGCUCCUCCACCUGUAGGCAAUGCCGAGCCCGCGGUCUCCCUCCCCAAGGUCGCUCCGGAGCCCACGAUCCUCCUCCACCUACAACUUGUCUCCUCUACGGUCACGCCGCCGCCCAAGAUCGCUCCGGAGCCCACGAGCUGAGUAGCAGAGCACCACCGACGGCUCCUCCUUCUUCCUGCAACCGCUUGCCAUCCGGCGAUGCACGAUGAGUCAUCUUGCACCUCUCCCGUUCAUCCCCUUCUCCUGCUUCCCUCCUUUGGAGAUGGAUGAGAGAGUUGACCAACCAUGGCAGCGACCAGCUCCACCAAUCAGGUCUGUCUAUCACGUCCGUCUGUGUGCCUAGAUCUGAGUCUCGAUGGUCUGAUGCUGUUCUGCACAAUAUGGGCGACGACCCUUGGUCGUGACCCUCCCACAGCCCCGCCACCACCCCCAGCCUUGCCCACGCACGCCGACACCGCCUCUCACCAUCUCCUCCCGUCCCGUGCGACGAAUCGAUGACUGUUGGUCUUCUGCACACCGCCGUCAGCAGCCGCUCUCUUUCAGUCCAGCUCCACCAGCUAGCUGCUCCACGAUGACGCCACCGCGCAGUUCCCGGCAGUGCUCCCCGGUCGUGCCAGCCAUCGGGCCGCUGUCUCCGGGUGUUGGCCUUUCCUUCACUACGCCCAGGACUAGCAACACCUACAAAGCCAAGAAAACACCAACACUUCUUGCUACUUUGGCCACUAAUCGUGGAUGAGGAUGGUGUUCACAAGUCACAAAAUCAGUGUCUACACAUAUGGGGAGAACGGAUGAAGCAAGCUAUUUAUUUUGUAUCCUUUUUAUGCAUUAUGAUUCUUAUAUUUUUUGUCAUGUUUUAUUUAGUUUGUUCGAUAGUUUCAGUUCUACAUAUAUUGUGCAGCUAGUAGAAUUUUGCAUGCAUUCUGAAGAGAUACUUCUUACUCCCUCCGUCCCAAAAUAUCUGUCUUAACUUUGUACUAGCUCAUGUAUAAAAUUGUACUAAGCUUAAGACACUUAUUUUGGGACGGAGGGGGUAUAAAGCUUUGGGAUAGUUCUUAGGUUAACUAUAUAUUUAAAAUUUAGGACCCCAUUUUUUGAUUCGUCCCGUGGCCACAAAUUCCUAGAGACGGCCCUGAACUCGAGUGAGGGAGCAGCGGAGAGAAAAGGGAAGAAAUUGAUGCUGCGCGUGAGGAGCAAGUGGUCGACCUGUACGUUCCUUCUAGACCAUGUAGCCCAUGGGCGACAAAAAGGAGAAGAUCGUUGUGCAAGUGCUGCAGAGAAGAAGGGCUCGGAUGCUGCUGAUGCGCAGGACGCCCAAAAGGAGGAGGACAAUGAGAACGAGAAGAUGGUGCUGCAAGGGCUGAAGGAAAAUUUUAUCUCACAUGUGCUUUGCUGUUUGUUUCUCUUGCCAAGUGUUGAUGGUAAUGCCCCAUGUUGGUGAGAAAUCUCAAGUCCUGCAAGACCUAUUGGAAGCAGCCCCUGGCGGCAAUGGCAAGAGCAUAUUCUGCAGAGGAAGAGGAUGUGAAGAAACUUGUGGUUCUCAUCCAAUCUUUGUGAAACUCUCUUUAUAUGCGAUUUUGCAUUUGUUGGGUCAUUUUUAUGUACAGUUGCACUUGCACAAGUAUUCUGUUGUGCACAUGUAAAACUAUUUUGAUGUGCCCUUGUUACGCGUUGAACCUUAAUGCAUGGAGUCGCUGGAUGAUGUAUUGUAUUUGAUGUGAUAUGCUACUGAAAUGAAAUAUACAUUUUAUUUGCAA